AGUGAACGCUGGCGGUAGGCCUAACACAUGCAAGUCGAACGGCAGCACAGUAAGAGCUUGCUCUUACGGGUGGCGAGUGGCGGACGGGUGAGGAAUACAUCGGAAUCUACUUUUUCGUGGGGGAUAACGUAGGGAAACUUACGCUAAUACCGCAUACGACCUACGGGUGAAAGCAGGGGAUCUUCGGACCUUGCGCGAUUGAAUGAGCCGAUGUCGGAUUAGCUAGUUGGCGGGGUAAAGGCCCACCAAGGCGACGAUCCGUAGCUGGUCUGAGAGGAUGAUCAGCCACACUGGAACUGAGACACGGUCCAGACUCCUACGGGAGGCAGCAGUGGGGAAUAUUGGACAAUGGGCGCAAGCCUGAUCCAGCCAUACCGCGUGAGUGAAGAAGGCCUUCGGGUUGUAGAGCCCUUUUGUUGGGAAAGAAAAGCAGCAGGUUAAUACCCCGCUGUUCUGACGGUACCCAAAGAAUAAGCACCGGCUAACUUCGUG
rnacentral:rRNA from 1 species